UCCCUGGCAGUCCAGUGGCUAGGACUCAGCCCUUUCAAUACUGGGGCCAGGGUUCAAUCCCUCGUCAGGGAA
rfam:TPA: Bos taurus chromosome 1, whole genome shotgun sequence.